rnacentral:lncRNA from 1 species
GCUUCUCCCUCCUAAAAUCCUCUGGUUAAUUGUAACAAUCCCAGACACAACUUCGAAAGUACAUGCACCAAACCUACAAUCCAACCUGAACUAGAAGUGAAACCCUUCCAAGCUACUGCAUGCAUUAAAACUUGAAUGCAAAGCAAACUCCAGUGGCCUCUGUCCUUCUGCAGCCCAUCUCAGGAGUGGCUCUGUGCUGUGCAGCAGCUUCAGGAUGUGUGUGUAUUUACAGGGAGUUCUUGCUGCUGCUUUCCUGGGCCUGUCCCUCCCUUUUGGGUGGUUCAUGGGGGAUCUGUUCCUGAAAGGAGUCAGCCCCCCUGAUUCCAGAGCUCCUGUUAUUUCCAUGAUCCCACACCGUGGGAUCAGAGAGAACCUUGGCUUUGCAUGAAAACUCCAGCACACCUUUCCCUACCAGGUGUUUUGAAGGCUCGGAUUAAAUUCUCAACACAUUCUCUCCCUGUUCCCACAACAAACCACUCCAUUCCCUGGCUGGAAGAGACCACUUUGGGGCAGGAAUUAAAGACAGACAGGGCAAACAGAACAAGUGAUGGCCAGAUGGUUUUGGAGAUCAACUUCUUAAAACCACAGCCUUGAUGGGAACAGAUCUGUGCUCGCCUCUGUCCCACCAGCAUUCCCAGAGCUCUGGAAAUGCACCAGGACUGGCCAGGAGGGGUGGCUGGGGACGGUGCCCAGGUGCCAGCGGGUGUUUCUCAGGGCACACGAGCCUCUUAGAAGCAACACACGGUCCAGCACGGCCCCUGCCAAGAUGCUGGGCAGCACCAGGCCCGAGAGCUCCCCAGCCAGACUGGGUUUGCUGCACACACUCGCCGACAUGCACAAUGGGAGUCUCUAAACAGCAAAAUCAAACAGAAACAAUCAAACUUCAGCCUUCCCGCACCGCUGCUUCCUGCGGGGCUGUGAGAGGCUGGCGCACACCCACCUCCCCCAGCUCUGCUUCCUCUCCACGUGCGGAUUCCUACGGGGAAUUACAUAAUCGCACAAAACUUGGACUGCCCCGUGUCCCUGGAGACAUCCAGCUUGUUUUUGUCCCGCACCAGGAUGGCCUCGUUGCCGUACUGCGAGUACCACAUGCUCCUGCUGCGGCUCAGGCAGCGCCAUCUAAUCUCCUGCGAAGGACCCGGUGCGUUUACCCGAGCAGGGCUACUCCAGAGCUACUCCUGGUUGUUCCUGUGGGCCUUCCCGGACACAAACGAGGGGCUGUGGUUUGCUUCAGUCAGAGGGAAGGCAUGCUGCAAUCCCCUGCUCCCAGGAGAUUUAGGCCAAACACAAAGAAGAGGGAAGCAGAGAAGAAAAAAAAAAAAAAAAAAAAAAAAAAAGGAAUGACCAAUGACCACACUAUUAAAAUGUUUAUUAUCAGAAACAUCCUGACUCUGCUGUUUAAUCUGCUUCCUGCUAGUGAGGAGAAGCCAGCCCUCGUGGAAGCUGCAGAAAAAAAGUGGGAAAUCCUUUAGUGGACAGGAUUUUUUUAAGGCUUUCUU